rnacentral:rRNA from 1 species
UACGGAGGGGGCAAGCGUUGUUCGGAUUUACUGGGCGUAAAGGGAGCGUAGGCGGUUGAUUUAGUCCGAUGUGAAAGCUUUACCACUUAACGGAAAGAGGUCAUCGGAUACUGGUCGACUAGAGUAGGGUAGAGGCAAGCGGAAUUCCUGGUGUAGCGGUGGAAUGUGUAGAUAUCAGGAAGAACAUCGGUGGCGAAGGCGGCUUGCUGGGCCCUUACUGACGCUGAGGCUCGAAAGCGUGGGGAGCAAACGGG